UACGUAGGGGCAAGCGUUGUCCGGAUUUAUUGGGCGUAAAGAGCGUGUAGGCGGCCUGAAAGGUCAGCUGUGAAAACUCGAGGCUCAACCUCGAGACGUCGGUUGAAACCAUCUGGCUAGAGUCCGGAAGAGGAGAGUGGAAUUCCCGGUGUAGCGGUGAAAUGCGCAGAUAUCGGGAAGAACACCCGUGGCGAAGGCGGCUCUCUGGGACGGUACUGGACGCUGAGA
rnacentral:rRNA from 1 species